UACGAAGGGGGCGAGCGUUGUUCGGAAUUACUGGGCGUAAAGGGUGUGUAGGCGGCUUAGUAAGAUAGCGGUGAAAUCCCGGGGCUCAACCUCGGAAUUGCCAUAAUAACUACGGAGCUAGAAUGACAGAGAGGAUAUUGGAAUACCCAGUGUAGAGGUGAAAUUCGUAGAUAUUGGGUAGAACACCGGUGGCGAAGGCGAGUAUCUGGCUGUAAAUUGACGCUGAGGCACGAAAGCAUGGGGAUCAAAC
rnacentral:rRNA from 1 species